UGUCGUCAGCUCGUGUCGUGAGAUGUUGGGUUAAGUCCCGCAACGAGCGCAACCCUUAUCGUUAGUUAUUUUGUCUAACGAGACUGCCAACGCAAGUUGGAGGAAGGUGGGGAUGACGUCAAAUCAUCAUGCCCCUUAUGUCUAGGGCCACAAACGUGCUACAAUGGUCGGUACAAACAGUCGCUAAUUCGUAAGAUAGAGCUAAUCUGUAAAGCCGAUCUCAGUUCGGAUAGAGGGCUGAAAUUCGCCCUCUUGAAGUUGGAAUCACUAGUAAUCGCGAAUCAGCCAUGUCGCGGUGAAUACGUUCUCGGG
rnacentral:rRNA from 1 species